rnacentral:rRNA from 1 species
GACGAACGCUGGCGGCGUGCUUAACACAUGCAAGUCGAACGGAAAGGCCCUGCUUUUGUGGGGUUCUCGAGUGGCGAACGCGUGAGUAACACGUGAGUAACCUGCCCUUGUCUUUGGGAUAACUUCACGAAACUGGGGCUAAUACCGGAUAGGAUCUCCUGCUGCAUGGUGGGCGUUGGAAAGUUUCGGCGGUUGGGGAUAGACUCGCGGCUUAUCGGCUUGUUUGUGGGGUAGUGGCUUACCAAGGCUUUGACGGGUAGCCGGCCUGGGAGGGUGAACGGGCACAAGAGGACUGAGAGAGGGCGCAGACUGCAACGGGAGGCAGAAGUGGGGAGUAUGGCACAGUGAGCGGGAGCGUGAGGCAACAACGCCGGGUGCGGGAUGACGGCCUUCGGGUUAUGAACCGCUUUCGCCUGAGACGAAGCGGGAGUGACGGUAAUGGGUAAAGAAGCACCGGCUAACUACGUG